rnacentral:rRNA from 1 species
UACGUAGGGACCGAGCGUUGUCCGGAAUCAUUGGGCGUAAAGAGCGUGUAGGCGGCCUUUUAAGUCCUGCGUGAAAUCCUGCGGCUCAACCGCAGACGGUCGUGGGAAACUGGAAGGCUAGAGUGCGGGAGAGGAGAGUGGAAUUCCCGGUGUAGCGGUGAAAUGCGCAGAUAUCGAGAGGAACACCGGUGGCGAAGGCGGCCUUCUGGACAGUGACUGACGCUGAGACGCGAAAGCGUGGGGAGCAAACAGG